rnacentral:tRNA from 1 species
UGGGGUGUGGCUCAGUGGCAAAGCACUCACCUAGCAUAUGAGGGGCCCUGGGAUCAAUCCUCAGCACCACAU